CAACAGGUUUGGUCCUAGCCUUUUUGUUAAUUCGUAGUUGACUUACACAUGCAAGAAUCCCCAAGCCAGUGAAAAUGCCCUCCAGCUCAUAUACUGAUUAAGAGGAGCGGAUAUUAAGCACACACCAGUAGCUCAAAAUAUCUUGCUCAACCACACCCCCAAGGGACACAGCAGUGAUAAAUAUUAAGCAAUGAACGAAAGUUUGACUAAGUUAGACUACACUAGAGUUGGUAAAUUUCGUGCCAGCCACCGCGGUCAUACGAAUAACCCAGAUUAACAAACCCCGGCGUAAAGCGUGUUUUUAGAGCCCCAACACAAUAAAGUUAAAUAUUAUCCAGGCUGUAGAAAGCUAUAGCUACAAUAAAAACCACAACGAAAGUGACUUUAGCACACUUGAAUACACGAAAGCUAGGACCCAAACUGGGAUUAGAUACCCCACUAUGCCUAACCAUAAACCUAGAUAGUUACAACAACAAAACUAUUCGCCAGAGGACUACUAGCAACAGCUAAAAACUCAAAGGACUUGGCGGUGCUUUAUACCCCCUAGAGGAGCCUGUUCUAUAAUCGAUAAACCCCGCUCAACCUCACCACCCCUUGCCAACUCAGCCUGUAUACCGCCAUCUUCAGCAAACCCUAAAAAGGUGAAACAGUAAGCACAAUAACUCUCGUAAAAACGUUAGGUCAAGGUGUAGCCUAUGGGGUGGAAAGCAAUGGGCUACAUUUUCUUUCCCCAAAGAACAACACGAAGGCCCUUAUGAAAAUUAAGGACUAAAGGCGGAUUUAGCAGUAAACUAAGAGCAGAGAGCUUAGUUGAACACGGCAAUGAAGCACGCACACACCGCCCGUCACCCUCCUCAAUUAUUUAAAAAUCCUGUGCCCUUAAAUAAAUUAAACACACCAACAAAUACUAGAGGAGAUAAGUCGUAACAAGGUAAGUAUACUGGAAGGUGUACUUGGAAAACC
rnacentral:ncRNA from 1 species